rnacentral:rRNA from 1 species
UACGUAGGGGGCGAGCGUUGUCCGAAUUUACUGGGCGUAAAGCGCGCGUAGGCGGGCUCUUAAGUUGGAGGUGAAAUCCCGGGGCUCAACCCCGGAACUGCCUUCAAAACUGGGAGCCUAGAGCUGUGGAGAGGGAAGUGGAAUUCCUGGUGUAGCGGUGAAAUGCGUAGAUAUCAGGAGGAACACCCGUGGCGAAGGCGGCUUCCUGGCCACACGCUGACGCUGAGGUGCGAAAGCCAGGGUAGCGAACGGGAUUAGAUACCCCGGUAGUCCUGGCCGUAAACGAUGGAUACUAGGUGUUAGAGGUAUCGACCCCUCUAGUGCCGAAGCUAACGCAUUAAGUAUCCCGCCUGGGGAGUACGGCCGCAAGGCUGAAACUCAAAGGAAUUGACGGGGGCCCGCACAAGCGGUGGAGCAUGUGGUUUAAUACGUCACUAACCGUAGAACCUUACCCAGGCUUGACAUCUGGGGAACCCCGAUGAAAGUCGGGGGUGCCGAGUAAUCGGAGCCCCAAGACAGGUGUUGCAUGGCU